GGGCAUUCUUUUUCCUGCAUAUUGUUAAGUUCCUGAAUAAACUGCCUUGAGAAGGACAUCAGUUUCAUUGCUUCUUUUCUGCUGGUCGGAGAUGGUAGCGACAAGUGGUGGAACCUGUACGGGGACGUGAGGAAUCCAGAACUCUAGGCAGUCAGGGUAGCCGGCUGGAAAGCUCCCAGGUAAGUGGGACGAUUCAAGUACUCUAUUAGAGACUAUUAGGUUCCUGGAUUAGGGACUAUUGAGGUUCUCAGAGUGAGACAAUUAAAGAUACACACGCAUAUAGUGUAGCGAUCCAAAAAUUAAAAGAAAAGCAAUUGGUUGUAGCCCUGGAAAAGGUUCAGAAAGGAAAAGUGGUGAAUUAUUUAGGAACAAAAAUUUUUGAUAGUCAAGUAUCUCCCCAGAAAAUCCAGCUUCCGAUGGAUAAUUUGAGGACAUUGAAUGAUUUUCAAAAGAUAUUGGGGGAUAUACAGUGGGUACACCCCUAUUUGGGCCUAACCAAUAAACAAUUACAAUCAUUAUAUGAUAUUUUACUGGGAGAUAAAGAAUUAAAUUCUCCCCGGCAGCUUACUGAUUCUGCCCGCAUAGCGUUAAGUUUGGUCGAAAAGGGUAUUCAAACAGCAGCAUCAAAGAGAAGAUAUCUGUUCAGUCCUAUUAUUUUGUGCACCCUCCCUCGGAGACCCAGCCUACUGGAGUCCUCUGGCAGGGUGCCCCUUUGCUAUGGAUACAUCCCAAGAUUUCACCUGCAAAAAUCUUGUCUUAUUACCCUGCCUCAGUAGCACAAUUGGCCUUGAUUGGCCUACAACAAUGUAUCCAAUAUUUUGGCAAUCCCCCUCAGGAAUUGAUUGUUCUAUAUAAUAUGAAACAAAUAGAAGUAUUAUCAGAUACUGUUGAUGAUUGGGCAAUUUUGAGAUGUAGCUUUAUGGGAAAGAUGGAUAAUCAUUUCCCUAAGGAUCCCAUUUUGCAGCUGAUUAAAGCUCAUCCAGUUGUUUUCCAUGAAUUACUUCUCGAGUGCCAUUGACUGAUGCCCCUUUAAUUUUUACAGAUGGGUCUAAGACAGGCUGAGGAGCAUAUUUGGUUCAUGGCUCCAUGCCAGUAACUUUACAGUUUCCCCCUGCUUCUCCCCAAGUUAUUGACUUGCAGAUUGUUAUAUAAAAGUUUUUGAAUUGUAUUCUGAAUCUUUUAAUUUAAUUUCAGAUAGUCAGUAUGUGGUUAAUUUGUUAGCAGUGCUGAAAGUGGUAGGGAAGGUGAAUUUUAGAUCCACUAUAGGGGAUUUGUUAAAUAAAUCACAAUCCUUAAUUUUAAAUAGAAGAUUUCCAUUUUUUGUCCAACACAUUCGAGUUCAAAUCAUUGCCUGGCCCUUUAGCAGAGGGCAAUGAUUUGGUUGAUAAAGCUGCUAGAGCUGCUUCUGCCUUUUUGAUUCAAACACCUGUAGAACUGGCUCCUGAAUUUCAUUCCCAUUUCAUGUGAAUUCCAAAACACUUUCUUCUCGAUUUCAUAUUACUAGAGCAGAGGCAAGGGAUAUUGUUAUGGCUUGCAAAGCCUGUGCCCCCCUAUUGCCUCAGGUGAGUGUGGGAGUAAACCCUUGUGGCCUGCUUUCCCUCCACGUUUGGCAAAUGGAUGUGACUCAUUUUUCAGAAUUUGGUAAACUGCAAUUUGUUCAUGUUUCUGUAGAUACAGCCUCUGGGGGGUUGUUUGCCUCCCUGCAUACUGGUGAAAAGGCACACCAUGUCAUUACCCAUUGCUUUGAGGCAUGGGGUGCAUGGGGUCAGCCCAGAGAGCUUAAGACUGAUAAUGGACCUGCUUAUACUUCAGCUUCUUUUGUUUCCUUUUGUAAAAUGAUGGGUGUCCGCUUGGUGCACGGUAUACCCUACAAUCCUCAGGGCCAGGGCAUCAGUGAAAGAGCCCAUAGCACUCUGAAACAGUGUCUAAUAAAAAAGAAAGGGGGAGUAGCCUCUGGCGCUACUCCUAGGGAGAGAUUAGCCAUUGCUUUUUACCUUAACUUUUUUGAAUAAAAAUAAAAAUAAUUUGACUGCUACGGAAUGGUUUGCCAAUCCUGAGGCAUCCUACAAAGGCACAGUCCUGUGAAAGGAUGUUCUGAGUGGACCAUGGCAUGGGCCCGAUCCUGUGUUGGUCUGGGCGAGAGGGUCUGUUUGUGUGUUUCCACAGGAUCAUCACCAGAUGCUGUGGGUUCCGGAGCGAUUGACAAGGGUAGUUCAAGAUGGAUGGAGGUGCCCUGAUGAAGCUGCUCCUGGGGGUGAUGAUGCUGCCUGCAGUGAUGACUGAAGAUCUAUGAUGGGCCCCCUUUUGUAGGGGUAUUCGAGAUUCGCUACCCCCAUGGACUGGCUGCCAGUUCAGGAAAGCUGUGUGGGCCGUGAAAAAGUAUUUUACUUUUCCCCCUUAUAUUAGUACCAGUCAUAAUCAAACGUUUUCAGGGUUUAAUUGGAUAUAUCAAAAUCCAGCCCAGAGAGGGGCAAGCAAUCCCUUUAAGGUUUGGCUGUUGUGUGGGAUAAAUUGGGAGUUGUAUAGAUCUUUCUCCUUUGAGUAUGUUGAUGGGGGGGGGCACGGGGAAAUGCUAGCUUUUAUUGGAAUGGAUCUGUAUUAUUUGAGUAUUCUGUUAUUCAGUUAGCUUAUGGGAAGAAUAUAUUCUUUAAAGCCACGCCUGUAUGUGUUUGGCCUCAUUUUGUUAUUUUAGUUUAUAAUGGUAGUUAUUUUGAUGAUGUUGUAGAAUGUAAAGAGGAUAGUUGUUUUUAUAGUAUGUGUUGGUUGGAAUGCUUCUAUGUUUUCUUUAGCUAUUGUUACCAGAAUGUCUAGAUUGUUACCAUGGCCCAUUCAGGCCCCUUCGAUUAUGACCUUGUUUGGACCCAAAAGAGAUUUUGGGAUAGUCCAUAUCAAUUCCACUCAGGUGGAUGUAUCCAUGGCUGAAGGACUUGCAAAUUGGAUUGCCUCUGCUAUGUCACACCUAAAGGAAUGGACCAGUAUUGGUGGAUUGGCACUGUGCUGUGUGCUCAUCAGUGUCCUGGCCUUUUGGUGCAUCUGCCGCAUGUAACAUCACCAUCACAGGACUCAAGCUCUGUUGAUACAAGCCUUUGCAGCUGUGGAGAUGUGACAAUCUCCUCAGGUGUGGCUUGGCAUGCUAGAGAAGUAGUCAAUGACAGGUAAGACUCCCUGGAUGUGUUACCAACCUAAGACAGGGAUCAGACCACUGCUGCCUAUCUCCUGAUGAUGGGUAAGGAGCAUUGUUGCAGGGGACAACCUAAGACAGGCAUUCUCUCUGCCAAUUUAAAGAAUAAGGGGGAGAUGUGAGAAGCAGGUGUGGCUGCGGCCCCCCCAAGAUGGCGCCCGGGACUGCUGCCAAGUCUUAUGACUGGCACCUGACUUCCUCAUAUCCCUCAAGAUAGCCACAUACCUUGAGCUGCAUUGUGCAGGUGCACCACGACGUAAGAUCGGAUGAUGUGACGAAUGUAGUCCUGAGCCAAUGAACUGUGUCUACGUGGACUGGGGUGAUGGGGAGUGGACGAGAGGGGAUAAAGGGGGAUGGCCAAGAGAGGUCGGGGCAUUCUUCUUUUUCCUGCAUAUUGAUAAGUUCCUGAAUAAACUGCCUUGAG
rnacentral:lncRNA from 1 species